GGGAGUUUGGUCUAGUGGUAUGAUUCUCGCUUAGGGUGCGAGAGGUCGUGGAUUCAAUUCCCGCAACUCCCC
rnacentral:tRNA from 1 species